rnacentral:lncRNA from 1 species
GGCGAGACAAUCGGCUUGGCAGUCUGUGACAUGGGAAGACGCAGGACGGUUGGCUUGGCAGGAUGUGGCAUGGGAAGGCGCAGGACGGUGGGCUUGGGAGGCUCUGGCGGCGGGAACGGGAAAGGGAAGCAGCCGGUGGUGGUGGUGGUGGUGGUGGCGUCGGGCGGGCGGCGGCUCCCGCUGAUGCGGAUCUUGGCGGCGUCGUAGGCGGCGGCGGCCUCCUCGGCGGUGUCGAAGGUGCCGAGCCAGAGGCGGCGGCCCUGGAUCGGGUCGCGGAUCUCCGAGGCGAACUUGCCCCACCGGCGCUGGCGCACGCCGCGGUACCGCACCGAGGGGGUCCUCCCCCCGGCCUGCGGCGGGCGCGAGUCCUCCCUCCUCCCGGC